rnacentral:lncRNA from 13 species
AUGAAGGCUGGCGUGGUGGCUUCCAGCACUUUGGGAGGCAGAGGACACAUAAGAAACCAGUAAUAUUGUUUACCUCUGGAGAGAACUAGAUGGCCGAGGGAUAAGAUGAUAAAACUGAGCUUCAAAGAGAAGAACUUUCUCCAGGGUCACUAAUGAGUGAGGGGAAGAGCUGGAAUUCAAACUCAAGCCUCCCGUCUUGGUAGAGGAAUGCAGGAGGAUGCUUGUGGUGUACAGCAACCGACCGCCGAAGUGA